rnacentral:rRNA from 1 species
CGGAUGAACGCUAGCGGGAGGCUUAACACAUGCAAGUCGAGGGGUAAAUGGUAGCAAUACUAUGGAGACCGGCGGACGGGUGCGUAACGCGUAUGCAACAUACCUUGUGCAGGGGGAUAGCCCGUGGAAACGCGGAUUAAUAUUCCAUAGUCCAGCUAUAUCGCAUGGUAUAGUUGGUAAAGAUUUAUCGGCACAAGUUUGGCAUGCGUCUGAUUAGCUUGUUGGUAGGGUAACGGCCUACCAAGGCUACGAUCAGUAGGGGUUCUGAGAGGAUUAACCCCCACACUGGUACUGAGACACGGACCAGACUCCUACGGGAGGCAGCAGUGAGGAAUAUUGGUCAAUGGGCGGAAGCCUGAACCAGCCAUCCCGCGUGAAGGAAGACAGCCUUACGGGUUGUAAACUUCUUUUCUGUCAGAAGAAUAAGCUUGUCGAGACGAGUGAUGCCGGUAUGACAGGAAUAAGCAUCGGCUAACUCCGUG